rnacentral:rRNA from 1 species
AUGAAUCGGCCAGCCUACCUACAACAUUCAGAUGUUGUAUCUGCUCGUUUGGAGCAUCUCGCACAAUGUAUCCAGAGAGAUGCUGCCACUGGUGAUACAUCUGUGCGAAGCCAGAUCCAGAAUGAGUCGACAGAGUUGGGAGUAGCGAUACAACAUCUGGAGGCUAUGCUUUUUGAGCUUGGACGGACAAUGAUGACGCUUAGAAUGGGGCCAUCUCCUGUAUGCAUUUUUCUACUAUGUCACUAUCACACAAGUGAUUCACAAGGCCAGCGAUUUGCUUUCCGCUCAGAUUACGCUGUCUGCAGACUGCAGCCUCCUAUUUGUGACGCCGUGGAACCUAAGGAUUUCCGGCGAUACGCAGUCAGUAGGAGGGGACGUUUUCAUCGAUGA